ACGAGAUCUGAUGGUUUUAUAAGGCACUUUUUCUCCUUUUGCUCAGCACUUCUUCUUGCUACUGCCAUGUGAAGGACGCGUUCGCUUCCCCUUCCACCAUAAUUGCUGCCAGGCUUCAGACUGGAACUACACCAUGGGAUCUCCCAGGUCUCCAGCUUGUCCACUUGCCCUGCAGAUCUUGAGACUUUCCAGACUCCAUAGUCACUGCUGAAUCCUGAUAGUUAAAAAGUUCUCAAAAAAAUAUCUGUUGAAUGAAUGAGUAAAUGGAGCAAAAAAGCUAACUUCUGGGUGCCACAGAAAGAGAGUCCAUGUUAUUGUUGACAUCCUUGUAAAGAAUGCAAAGUUGUCUGAGCACUUCAGCAAUGGUUUCUGCAAGCAAUGUGCAAAUUUGGAGACAGCCUUCCCUGUUCUUCUGAGCAGGCCUGGGAUGACCUCUGCCUGUUUUCAACCAUUAUUGAUGCGCAAUUUAUGAGAGGAUGAUGUGGCAAAAUGAUUUGAAAAUUGGAAGUGAUUUACUGCACAACUUAAAUAUUUUGUCUUAUCAUUACAGCAACUCUAUAAGGCCACAGGACAGCCUCCCAACCCAGCUAAAGAAUCAAGGGCGGAAGGCCAAAAUCAUCUGAAAACAAAUAUGAUACUUCAAAAAUGUCUGAAAAGGACAGGUGUGCUUUUCAAGAAGGCUUUCCCUCAGUGGCUUUACCUUUUGUGUGCGGCCCGGAUGUAGCUGAUAAACCAAGGCUUUCUGACUUUGCAGCUUGAUAGAUAUAAUUUUCAUAGUAUAUGGAAAGAUAAUGCACCCAAUGUAUUGGACAGUUGUCCCUGUGUUAUCAAGCAGUGUGUUCUCUUAUUUCACUAACAAAUGUCCAGACAAACACACAUUGUGGCAAAUGCAAGGAAAUCACUAGCCUGUGUUUGAAACUUAAGCCUCCCCGUUCUUUAGAGUAUAGCAGUAUUCAGGCAAUAGGGAUGCAUGGUACGAGCAUUACCCUUUCUCUCUCUCCAGACUCCAGAACAUGACAAUAGCUGAUAUGUUUCAGUGCAUGAAUAAUUCUGAUUCCAGCUAGACAAUUGUUGUGAAGGAAUUGUCCUUAUAAUAUUUGUCUCAUAAAAAUAUGUAUAUUUUAUUAUAAAACAAGAAUGUUCAAAUGGACAUCCACAUUUUGGCCCCAAAUCCUCCCCUUUUGUGCAUCUUAUGCAAAGUACAUGUCAAUAAGUAUUUAUCAAAUGAAUGUUAAAAGCAUGAAAGAAUGUUUUAUGGGGAUUUUGAUGUCUUUCUAGUGAGAUACUGUUUUUCAUUUAAUCAUAACUCAUUUUUUUUGAGAUGAGAAAAUUUAGACUCAAAGUCAUGAUAAGCCACCAACAUCAUAAAGAGCAGACUCAGGAACUGAACUGUAUUCUCUGCCUGUCCCUUCAUGCAAUUUCUUUCUCCUUUCUACAGAAAAAUCCCCCCUUCCUGCUAUUUCCACCCCUGAAAUAUUUAUAGGCUGAUGUCCUCUUUAGUCAUCACUGAGCUAAGCUGCAAUCUUUUAAUCAUUUCUCAGAAGUCAUUUUCUCUAUCGGCUUAAUCAUUUCAUUUACUUCUGACUCCACCCAAAGUGCUUACGUCCCUUAAACAUGAGGUUCCAGAACUGAAACAUAGUCCUUCAAGGAACCAGAGAGAAGCCAGGCAACAUCAAUCAAGCCCCUUGAUGAUGGAACGUGUCCUCACAUGUGACUCAAUAGACGUUUUGCUGUGGGACUCUAAUUCUGUCUUGCCUUAUAGGCAAGAUGCAAUCUUUAUCAGAGCUCCAGGGGUAAUGCUGUGUCACACAAAAAUGUGCACUGCUUUUGAUAUCAGGCACACCUGGGUUCAAAUCUUGGCUUCCCGAUUUACUACUUACGUAACCUAAGGCAAGUUAUUAAGCGUCUCUAAAUCUUGGUUUCUUUGUCAGAGACAAGUUGGGAGGAAUACUAGCUACAUCAUAGGAGUCUUGUGAGAACUAAAUCACUUAAUAUAUGUAAAUGGCCUGUAUAUACUAUACCUAGCACACAUUACAUACAGCACAUUUACUAACCUCUAAAUCUAGUGUUAAAUCAAUUUCUUUCUCUCUCACCGCACUCCAUUCAAUUUACCAGGAAUUCUGUCCACCUUUCUUUCAGUUUUUCUGAACGUAUCCAUUUCUUCCCAUUGAUAUGAGUCACAAAUAGAUCAGCUGCCACCUGAUCAGACCCACCAUCAUUUCUAACCAGACCAUUGCCAUAGCCUCCUGACUCAUUCCCCUGCUUUCAUCCUUGCCUUUUAUAAUCCUUUCUCUACACUGUAGCGAUGUCAUCUUUCUAAAAGAUUACUUGGACCAGUCCACUUGCCUGCAUAAAACAUGGCAUAGGGUUCCCACUACACUUAAAAACAAAUCCAAAAUUCUUGCCAUGGACUACAGGACCUCAAGUGAUCUUUCCCUGCUUGUAUCUCUGAAGUUAUCCUUCUCCCCUCUUCUAUCACUUACUCUACUUUUAGCCAUAUAUGGCUUUUGGUUUCUUGAGCUCACUAAGCUUAUUCUGGUGCCAGAAACUUUGCCCUUUCCAUUCCCUGAGACUUAGAUGUUCUUCCCCAAGAUCUUUACAUGAUUGGUUCCUUCUCACCAUUUCAGUCUAAGACCAGAGGUCACCUCCUCCAAGAGGUCUCCCUUGGUCACCAAAUCUCACGUUGUCUCUCCCUGAUAACCUAACACUGACACUUUCUAGCACAUUACUUUGUCUUACUUUCUUUAUAUCACUUUAUCACUAUCUGAAAUUACCAUCUUUAUUUAUUUGUUUGUUUAUUUCCAGAAUGUUUUUCUCUCUCAACAGAAUGCCAGCCCUAUGAAAGAAGGAACCUUGUCUACUUUGCAUCUCUCAAUAUUGUUACCUCCUAAAAUUGUGCCUGGCAUGAAGUAGACACUCAAUAAAUAUUUGACAAAUGGAUAAAUUGGUUUGGAAGAACUGGGCUCUAUCAUACUUUUCAUAAGUAUGAAAAGCAUUUGACAAGAUAAUGAAAUCUUAAGUAAUUAAUUCUGGCACCAUAUUUUACAAAGAACUUUGACAAAUUGGAGCCCAUCCAGAGGAGAACAAACAAUCUUGUGAAGGGUCUGGAAACCACAACUUGUAAGGAAUGAUGGAAAGAGCUGAGGAUGUUUACCUUGGAAGAGACACAUUUUAAGAGGAACAUGAUAGCUUUUUUAAAAACACUGAAAAGAACUGUCUGGUGGAAGACAGAUUUGAUUUAUUCAAUGUUACUCUGGAGUAUACAUUUAAAGCCAAAGAGUAAAAGUUAAAUCUUAAAUUCUUUAUGAUCUAAUAACCAAACUUUCCCAAACCAAAAUAGUAUUGAAUUCUACUUAUAAUAGUAAAAACUUUUAAGUCAUGUUUGCAUAAAUUUUUAUUAGGGAAAUUAUAUCGUAUAUGAAGCCACUUGCAAUUACCACUGUAUUCGUCCAUUUUCACACUGCUAAUACAGACAUACCCAAGCCUGGGCAAUUUACAAAGGAAAGAGGUUUAAUGGAGAACUCACAGUUCCACGUGGCUGAGAAAGCCUCACAAUCAUGGCAGAAGGUGAAAGGCAUGUCUCACAUGAUGGCAAGCAAGAGAAGAAGGCUUCUGCAGAAAAACUCCCCUUUUUAAAACCAUCAGAUCUCAUGAGACUUAUUCACUAUCACAAGAAUAGCACAGGAAAGACCUGCUCCCAGGAUUCAAUUACCCCCUACUGGGUUCCUCCCACAAGAUGAGAUUUGGGGUGGGGACAAAGCCAAACCAUAUCAACCAUAUUAAGACUUUGUAUCAAUAUGAAAAGUAUGUGUGGGAUGUCAAUUGCAAAAAAGCAGACUAUGAAAUAUGUGCAUAAGCAGACUAUGAAAUAUAGGCACUCUAUAGAGAGAAACAGAAACAAAGAGAGAGAGAAUAUAAACACAAACACAUGCAAAUAAAAUGUGUUACUUCAAGAGGUGAUGAGUUUCCUGUCCCUCCAAAGGUUAAAGCAGAGACCAGACAACCUCUUAGAAGAAACAGCAUGUGAGAAGUGAUAUUACAGACAAAGCAUUGGGCAGGGUGAACACUGAAACGAUUUCAAAGCUCCUUGGGUCUAUGAUCUGAUGAAUAUUGUUGAAUUGUGGGCACAAAACUGUGCUUUUUAAAAUAGUAAAGAUGACAUUAAGCCUCUCAAAUAUUUUCAUUUCCUCCCAAUUAAAACAGGCAAAAAAAAUCUAGUACCAAGAGACCCAAGUUCUGGGCUCCAUGAUCUACUAGGGCAUUGUGGCAUCAAGACCCACAAAGUGGACAUUUCUGGCCAUUAUUUCUCUUCUGCUCCAGCAAAAGCCUGUCAACCUCUCUGAACCUCAUUUUCUGGAUCCUUUCCCAAAAAGAAGGAAGUUGCAUGCUUUCUAUUUCUAAGAAUCUAUGCUUCAUCUUGAUUAUUUUCUUUCAUAAAUCUGAGCUUGGCCAGAAAUUAGAAGCCACCUGAACUUUGUAAAUAAGGAAUUUCCAAGAACACUAACAAGGGAAUAACUGUAGGAGAAUUUUGGUCCCCAAAUCAGGGAUGGUCCUUUUUCCACAUAAGUUUCAAAAAGUAAUAAAUAAUUCCUAUUAUAAUUAAAUGGGUGAAAAGUUUAGAACUCUAAGAGACAAGCAUCCAAAAGUAGGGUUUUCCUAGAAAGUCUCUUUAUAUUUUAUGUAAGAUGACAUUAAGUCAUCACCUGCAUUGCUUUCUUGGCUUUUGAUGAUAAAGGAGCUCUCCUCUGUUGUUGUUAAACUUCCAGGCAAGUUUUCGGGCUAUCUUCAUCCUAGAAGGGCCAAUAGACAGAAGAUUGCCAUUUUCAAGCAUUGAACACACAAUUGGAUCCUUCCUUGACGUCAACUUACCUCCCAUUUUAUAUCUCGGAUGAUUUCCAGUGGUGACAAAAACAUGUAUAUUUCCUUUCCCACUUAGGGAACUAUGAGGUGUGCUUUGACUAGCCAAUAGAGAUAUUACAAAAUAGCAAACCCAUAAAACUUCUAGAGACUUCACGAAUCCUGUAAGAACAGCCUCAUUCUCUUCGAAUCCUUGGUUAUAAUUCACAUAGAUUAUCUUGUGGGAAUAGAACAAAGUAAGCCUUGCUGUGCCAUGCUCUUCUUGUGAAGAGUUCUCUGACUCCUAUAUUUCAGAUGAAGGAAUCAUUGUAACAUGACAAUGGUCAGGGAGUGCCCUGCUCCCAUGCCCAGAAUUGACCUACCAUCCUCAAACCAAUAAGCUCAAGCCCAGAUGAUUACCACCUACAUGGAAGGAUAAAGUGCCUCCCUUCAGCAGAUUGAGUAGGCGGUGAGUCCUAUUCUGGAGAAAAAAGUAAAUAUAAAGGCUGGGACUAUCAAUCAGAGAAAGACCUCUCCUCGAGAAGACUGGUCCAGGUAGGUAAGAUGUGCUCACAAAUAAUUAAAACAAGGUAGAAGCUACAUGCUAAACUACAGGGAAUAGCUGGGGAUGAUCUAUCAAGAAUGUAUGGUGGAAGUGCACUGAAUUGGGUCUUGAAAAGCAGGUUGGGCAUAUAGAGAUACACAAUGGAAUGUUUAUAAGCAAAUACAUGGAGGUGAGAAUUAUGGGGCAUGUACAACAGAUGAUAAACAAUUUCUUUCACUACCGAGUGGGACACAUUUAGGGUAGAGGGUACAUGCAGGUAGACAGAAUUGGAGAAGUAGGUUGGAC
rnacentral:lncRNA from 10 species